GUACUUUCGCGCCCGAGUAUAGUGACCGGGGCUGGUGAGAAGAGGCGCACGCAGCCAAGCCACCCCACUGAAGACAAAGCACGCUUCUGCUGCAUUAGCCGAGUGUCUUCGGAAGGGGCGACUCGUUGUGUCGCCCUACCGUGUGUCAAUCCCACUCUCGCAGCCCCCACCUCGCCCUUCCGUGGAGGUGUCGCACCGGUUUAUCGUGUGCGCACCUCGUCGAAGGAUCCGCAGACGCCGCGAAAGACAGCUCUUGAAUGGCUGCAGCUGGUGGCCCGCUCCUCCUUUCCCUCCUUUGUUGUUGGUUUCAUAGAAGCCUUUACAUGUGAGAGAGGGGACACCAUAAAAGGCAGACAGAGACGCACGCAUAGGCGCGCGUACUCAGACACGCUCAUUCACACACGUGGACGCAAAGACGGGAGGGGGGAGAUGCCAACGUGGCUCAAUGUCGCCGAGAAGCCCAGUGUUGCCAAGGAAAUGGCGCAGAGCCUCUCCGGCGGUAACUGCCGCACGGUUCCAUCGCAGUCUCGCUUUAACCCCGUCUACGAGUUUAAAUUUGAGGGUAAGACGAUGCUGGUCACAUCGGUGGCGGGCCACCUCAUGGAGGAUCAGUUCCCACCCAACACCAAGAACUGGUCCACCUACCCGUUUCAGGGGCUCUUCUCGGCGCCGAUCACCAAGUACGUGCGAGCCGAUCUCGAGCCGGUGAAGAAGAACCUCGAAGCGCUCGCCGGCCGAGCUGACACGCUCGUCCUAUGGCUGGACUGCGACCGGGAAGGCGAGAACAUCUGCUUCGAGGUGAUGCAGGUAGUGCAAAGCAAGCGACCGCAAGUGCAGGUGAAGCGAGCCCACUUCUCCGCCCUCACCGCACGCGACUUGCUGAACGCCGUGCACAACCUCAAACUGCCGGACAAGCGCCUCUCGGACGCGGUGGAAGCGCGGCAGGAGAUGGAUCUGCGCAUUGGGGCGGCCUUUACCCGUUAUCAGACGGUAAAGUUUCGCCACCUGUUCGCCGCCAUUCCAGGGGUGCUGAGCUUUGGCCCCUGUCAGUUCCCUACCCUCGGCUUUGUGGUGCGGCGCUACUGGCAGCAGCAGGGCUUUGUCCCGGAGGACUUCUUCACCCUUCAGCUGCAGCAUGGCGACACCAAGUUCCACAGCAGUCGCGGCUCCAUGUACGAUCAGGUGGCGGCCACCUUAAUCUAUGAGGACAUGCUGCAGGCGGCGGCGGCGGAGGGGCAUAAGGGCCGCAUCACCAACGUGCAACAGCGUCCAAGCCACCGACGCCCGCCGGUGCCCCUGGCCACCGUCGUCAUGCAGAAGUUAGCCGCAACACACCUCCGCAUCCCCUCUGAGCGGUGCAUGACGCUGGCGGAGUCGCUGUAUCAGGAAGGGCUGAUCUCGUACCCACGCACGGAGACGGACUCCUACACCUUUCAAGAGAGCGAGCUGCUAGAGCUGGUUCGAGUGCAAAUUGCGAACGCCGACGUGGCCGAGUACGUGGCAGCCAUGCUGGCCGACAUCGCCACGCGCGUGCGCCCACCGCUCCGCGGCGGCCACGACGACAAGGCGCACCCGCCCAUUCACCCGACCAAGGCGUGGAACGCGACGCAGGAUGAGCGUGGCAGGCUGUACAAUCUGAUUGUGCGUCACUUUCUCGCCUCGCUCUCCCCCGACGCAGUGGCCGCGACGACGCAGGUGUCGGCGGAGUUUGGCGGGGAGUUGUUCUCCACCGGCGGGACAACGAUCCUGCAGCGUGGUUGGCUGGACAUCUUCCCCUACGAGCGGUGGAACAAUACGUGCAUCCCGAACUACCAGAUAGGCGACACGUUCCAGCCGACAGCCGUGCCGCUCAAGAAGGGCUGCACCUCGGCCCCACCCCACCUGACGGAGACGCAUCUCAUCUCGCUGAUGGACAGCAACGGCAUUGGGACGGACGCCACCAUUGCGCAGCACAUCAAGACUGUCCUGGAUCGCGAGUACGUGAAGCGGGAGGGUCAGUCACUGGUGCCAACGACGCUGGGAAUUGCCCUGGCCUCGGCCUAUGAGUCCCUCGGCUUGGCCAGCCUACUACAGCCACAGCUGCGGGCGCAGAUGGAGCUUGCGAUGGGCGACAUCGCAAACGGCGCUGCCACAAAGGAGCAGGUGGUGGCGGCAGCGGUGCAGCUGUACGAGGAGAUCUUUAGCCGCCUCAUGGCAAACACAAACGCGUUUUACGAGGAGCUGAAGCGGUAUUUGCAACCAGCAGUAGAGACAGACGCUUGCGCCGUCCAGGCAACGGUGGUAAAGGCCAACUUCAUCCCAUGCGGGACGUGUGGCCGACUAAUGGACCUCGUCGAGCGCGCCGGCGAGCGUGAUCGCGAGGUGUGGAGCGUGCGCUGCCACGCGUGCAACAAGAUGUAUCGGGUGCCAAACGGCCGCCUCAAUACGCUGGAGCCGGUGAGCCCGCCGCACACGUGUCCACUGUGCGGGUUCCUCGCGCUGCGCGUUGCAAACCGCGAGAAGAAAACGUCCUACCACGUCUGCCCGCACUGCUUUGGAAGUCCACCGAAGGCAUGGAGCGUGACCGCCUAUGGUUCUGCCGGUGCAGCCGCUCCCCUUCCCGACGUCGAAGCCGCGGCCGAGUUCCGCUGCUUCCAGUGCACUGCCGACUGCCCCUUGGCCAAAGGGCUCGAAGCGAUUGGCAUCACCACGUGCAUCGCGUGCCGCCAGCACGAGCUGCGCCUACGCUCUGGGGCGAACGGGUUUUUUCUGUCGUGUAGAGGUUAUCCCUCGUGCCACCUGCGCGUCUCGCUGCCGGCGGCGGCCUCCGUGAAGCCAAGUCCCUCCCAGCGCUGCCCCGCGUGCAGCGCAGUGCUCCUCACGUUCGACUUUAGCGGACGUCAAGGAGUGCCGGGGCUGGACAUGCUCGACACCAUCUGCGUUAGAUGCGACGCACGCAUCAAGGACUACAUCGCUGUGAAGGGGAUGCCAACGGGUGGUGCAAACUCGUCUGCGGUGCCGAGCAGCGCCGCCUCGGUAGCCUCCACCGCCUCAAGAGCGUACACGCUGCCCUCUGUGAAGCCUUCCGCACGUCGCAGCGUACGGGGAGGAGGGCAACGUGGUGGCAGUAGCGGUGAUGCAGCGGCGGCGAACACGUCCAGUGGCGGAGUCGAUCCCGUGUGUGGGUGCGGCGCACCAGCGAAGCAGCUCGUCUCACGCAAAGAAGCUUCGCGAGGCAAGCGCUUCCUUACGUGUGCUCAUCGCCAGUGCUCUUUUUUUCAGUGGCUCGACUGAAAGACCCCACCCGCCGCCGCUGCCGAUGAGCGAGUGCGUGUGUCUGCGUGUGCAGCACCACCAAGACGUUUGCCACGUUUGUCUGCUGGUGGCAGGCGGAACACCCACCGCCACUCCCGACCCCCCCCUCCGUCCACGCACUCAUAUUCCUUAGCCGCUUCGAGCUUUGCUCCCUUCACCGGUCUCCGUGCACUGUGUCGCCCACGCGUAGCGCGCGGCUUGGCGGCACUGCGCACAAAACAAACGACAGCUUCACUAUUUGAACUGGGAAGUGACACACAUGGACCAUCGGUAAGGUCCCCUCCCACGGCUCAUUAUGCGCAUGACAGCAGCGCACCAACGCCCGCAUGAUAGACGGUGUGUCAAGUGCUCCGGUGGGGAAGUGCGCGUCUGUUUUCGAAAUCCGGGUGCCGCCAACGCGGUCAUGCCUGCUCGCUCUGCUCCUUGCUAACCUCCUCUCUCCCCGUCUUUCUCCCUAUCUGUACGCCUGCCUCUCUCAUGCUUCUCUGACACGCAAACGCAAACCAUCCGUGUUCUUCAACGUGACGCGUGCACGAACCUUCCGCCAUCGUUCUGCCAUCUCCUUCCCUCCCUCCCCCCAAACACACACACGCACACCGUGCAUCUUUUACCACACUAUACAUGCACAUGCAUCUAUGUAUAUUGCACCAAAUACCGACUCUAG
rnacentral:misc_RNA from 1 species